AGCCUAUAAAAGGCCUUCCCACCUCCCUCCCUCGUAUCUCCCUCCUUCCCGCAUUCGGAACAGGGUGUGUUUCCUCUUCCCUCCCUCCGAUCUCGUUCACGACGAAUGCCCCGAUCGAACUCCUCCGACCGCCGUAGAAGAAGAAUUGCUAUCGCCGUGCGGAUUCGAAGCUUCUCAUCAGGUCAAGGUAAAAGAAUACUGCGAGUUAGGGGCAACAACAGGCUCGUGGAGUAGAGAACCAGAAUGAUGCAUUAAAUGCAUGAAUUCAUUUCCAUGAGGAGACUUGAUCAGUUGAUAUCCUGAGGUUGAUAAAUUCAGCAACUUUUGCUCAUCAAGAUGAUACUAGCCAUUUCUAUGUUGAGAAAACAGGUAAUCUUGAGAUUCACAUUGGAAUUUAAUUUUCUCUAACAUACUCUGUUAGAAUCCUUUUGGCUUAGAAAUCAUGAAAUGUAGAACUAUCUUAUUGUUUAUAUGCAUGAAUUUAAGAAGAAGUCAUUAUGUUAUGCAGUUGAUGGUCUCUGAUGCUUCAGAUAGUGAGGUUGAUCUGAAGUUGAUUUUAGAAGUAAAAUUUCAAUGCCUUAACUAGUCUCAACCAAACUAUUUGAGUCCUCUUUGUAUAAGCAUUUUUCUCAUUUAUUCCUGCUAAUGGCAAUAUGAUCUAUUAUUCCAUGCUUCUUGAAAAACUACUUCAAUCUAUAUUUUGUCAACUGCCUCAACUGCACUUUAAAGACCAUUAGUGCCUGGACCAUAUUGUUGUGUCAAAACAUAAUUUUGCUGUAAUUGUGGUGCUUAGAGAGCUAAUUUGCUGUAAAACCAUUCAGCAGCUAAUUCUAAAUAUUGAAAAAAUGGUCAUACCCUGAACAUGUCAACUGUUCCAUGUAUAACUGUCUAACUUGAUCUGUGUCAUUCUCCAGAAGUGCAAAACCCAUAUAUAAUGAAAGGGAUGUGUUUGGCAGUUAAUACUGAGCAACUGAUGCAGAUAUAAGGGCUUGGCAAGCUCAAAUUAAUAUUUGGCUGGAGCAAUCAUGGUUCAUGUUGCAUAUUGAUGAAGUUAUUAAAGAGAAAAAAAGACUCACCCCAGAAGUUCACGUUAUUACUUUUGUUAAAUUACAUCAAACUGUUGCCUUGAUCUUUUAAAUAUGCGAUCUGUUAUCCUUUUGUACUCUUUCUGAUACACAUUUGAUUGCCUCCUUUAGGUUUAAGGACGUUCCAGAGGAUUAUGAAAUUGAAUGCAAAUUCAGUUAGAGGGUGCAGAAAUUUGAUGAUCUGUCUGUAACUACUUUGGAUCAUUAAUGCAUACAAAACAUUGUGGUGUUCUCAUGGCAUGUGAUAUUUAACAAGUAUGACUUAUGACUAUUCGGCAUUGACUCAUUAAUGACAUGGUUGCUUGUGCAGAGUUCCCAUUGACAGUAAUUAUGUGUAUGGUUUUGUAAAAACUAGGGUGAACUCUUGCACCACCUAACUUGGCACACACUUUUGUUUAUAAAAGUUGUGUUUUAUCGCAAAAAAGUGGAAAGUAAUUGUGAUAAAUUAUUGGAGGUUGGCUUUAGAAAACUGAAAUCCAGGAUUCAUAUUUUCUAAUCACUAUAAUACAAAAAAAAACAUUAUUUUCAGGUUUUCAAUUAAGCAAUUCACGUAACAUUUCUUUUUUGAGUUACUCAUUUUUUUAAUUUGCAGCCUUCUAACUAAUAUUGGACUGACAGUUUAUGGUCUAUGAAGGGUUAAUAGAUAUUACAACAAACUCAGUUGAUGACACGUGACUCAUGGUUGACUUGAAACUUGGUCUGACGUGUCACUCUGUCUUUUGUGUUUGUAAAUGCUUACUGAGUAUUUCCCCCACUCUUUAAGAGAGGGAGAGAGAUACCUGUUAUAUGUCAUCUUAGCAGUUCUGGAGACUUAUGAUUCAGUAAGUUCCGUAAAUGCUGAAUUAUAUCUCCAAUUGCUUACUUAUAUAAUUUCUGCAUUUUUCUAAACUUGCUGAUGCGAUUCUGUUGAUUUGUUUUGAUCAUGAUUAGAUGCAGAAUCAUCAGUCUAGAAAAUCUUCACAUAGCUGGCAAAAGCAAUAUUUGGAGCAAAGGAAAUGACAACAGCAGCCAUGUGGACUAGAGAACCAUAAUAAUGAAAGUUACCAUGAGGAGCCUUAAUCACUUGAUGUCCUAAGCUUGAUAUAUUCGGCAACAACAUCUCAUCAAGAUUAUUCUAGCCUUAUUGAUGGUAAGAAAAUAGAUAUUCAAAGCUUAGCUAUGUUAUUUAAUUUUCUGAGGCAUCCUCUGUUAGAAUCCUUUUGACUCGGGAAUCAUGGCACAUUGUUUAUAGCUUUAUAUGCAUCAGUUUAAGACAAAACCAUCAUAUUAUGCAUUAUGUGAUUGAUAGUCUCUGAUGGUUUAGAUGACAAGGCUGAUUUCAAGUUGAUUUUAGCUGAGUUUUACUCCCAUAAAAACUACAGUCAUGGUUAACUAGCCUCAAUUAUUUGGGUCAUUCUUUUGUAGCGAUUUUGCACUCUUAGUCACUUCAUUCUUGUUAAUGACAACAUGUUCUAUCAUUCCAAUCUUCUUGGAUAAAAACCUCCAUCUGUAUUUUCUGAGGUCUAUCUCUCCUCUUUCUUAACCUUGUGAGUACCUUUUCUUAACCUUGUGAGUACCUUUUCUUGUGGAUGAAUGCCACUUUUAGCUAUGCUAAUCAACCCUGUAUGCAUGUAUAGAAGCACCCAAAGGUGACAUAUGCGUGUGCAUGAUGGGGUGAAAAAAGAUAAGUCAUUGGAUCAUAACCAGAAUAAGAAAAUAGUAAACCACCUUGUUUUGCAUGGGUGUUGAUGAACAUAUAAAUUCAUAUGAAUGCCAUGAAUUUUGGAGAUUAAAAAAAUGACGAGUAAACUAUUAAAAUGUACUACAAAGUAAUAAAUAAAUCAUCUUUAAUAAAUCAUAUUUUACACUUCUUGAAUCAAAUACAUAACCGAAUCAGUAGUAUAUAGACUCAUGAAGAAAAUGCUUGCUGGGCCACUUUGUCAAAUGAUUUUAAUGGAAUAAUUAAUGUGGUGUUAAUUUUGCAUGAAUACGAUGCCAACUAAGGCCCAUAAGUUAUACAAAAUAUACUAAAUUCUUGUGGACUCAAGUGAUGCCAUGAAGAUGCAAAAAGCACACCUAUCAAAACUAUCGUAUAAAAGGUUUAGGAUUAGUCGAUUCAUAUUUAUACGCUUGCAAUUCAUAUUUAUUCUCUUUAUUUUCUUAAAAGAUCCUGGGGGAUGAGACCCAUGCAAGGGAAGCAAAUGAUGCGGAUUGAUUUGCUUCACAUUCAAUAGCCUGAAUUUUGUUGAUUUAUAGUUUUUAAUUGUAGGAUGUUUUUAAUUGUAUGCUUUAGAUUGAAGUCAUUAAGGCUUUUCGAAGUCUAAUAAUAGCCAAUCAAGGUCGUAUUGUAAGACUUUUAAGUCCAUAAUUCUAGGAGGUCCAAAAGGAGUCAAUUUAGGUAAGUUAAGGUGUUGGUUACUGUUGAUGUUUCUGUAGCAUGCAUAGUGAUGCUACAGUACAUGUCGGCUGUUAGAAGUUAAUAACUGGUUUGCUCUGGAAACUUCAAGGAGUUAAGACUGACGGUUCGGUGAUCGGGCGAAGAUAGACGACAACUGUAAGCUUUUUAGGGGUUUGUUUCUAUCUUUUGAAGAGGCCUGGAAAGAUUAAAAUUCGUUACUUGUGGGUCAAGUUUGAGUCUUAAAGUGGGCUGAGUAAAAGACUUGUAUGCGGUGUUUUUUUAAAAAACAUUUUAAAUCAUGAAUCAAAUUGAAGAUUUGAGGCUAGGUUCUUGUUUCCUCCCUCUCUCUUCCCCUCUUCUCCUCCUGUCCGUAUUUUCUGCCAUUUGUUCCUCUCUUUUCUCGCUUUCUCUCAAUCUUCUUCUUUAUUUUCAUAAUCUGUUGUUUAUUCCUGCUUUUUUUUGAGCUUUGAAUAGAUCACAUUGCUGUCUGUAGAUUUCUGUGUGCAUUAUUUGAUCUAAUCUGAUUACAGAUUUAUAUUUGAUUGUCCAAGAGAGCUCUAGAUUGUGAUUUGGUUAAUCUUCCCACAUAUAGGACACCCCAAAUAGACAUUCUUUUAAAUAGCCAUUGCUCUAAAUUUCAAGUUUUCUUAUUGAAUAACAAAUCACAGAACCUUGACAACCAGCAAUAAAGUCCUUCGUACCUUUAAUUCUUCACCUUAGGACCACCAAAGCAUGCAGGAAGUCCUAACCCCUUGCUGUCCUACAUCACAUACUCAUAACAAAUACUGUGAAACUUAUCCUGCAUUGGUUACUGGAUGAAGAGUAAAUUUUCUUAGCUGAAUCAUCAAACAAUCACCAAUCAAAUCUUAUAUUCAUCUACAUUUGGCUCGAACCUACUUGAUUUUUCAUUUCUCAUCAACAUUUUACCUCUCAAGGCAGAUAGCUAUCAUCUAAUAUUUCCAAUGACACUAAAUAUCUUAGUCUUUCAUCAUAAAAGAUAACCACUGAUAACUAAAGUUAAGUAUGUGAGGACCUGUGCGGCCAUAUGUUAAUCCCAUAUAGGCUAUGAAUUGGGUAGAUGUUGGAUACUUAUAUAGUAUCAAGGAACCCAAAUAAUGCCUGUUGGCUAGCCUUUUGGGGUGGUGUCUUGGGUUGUUACAACUAAGUGCUGGAAAGGCUGCACAUGAGUCGGGUUGACCCGUGAUCCAACCUAACCCAACCUGCUUAGACCGUAUCCGAACCCAAUUUAAGGACCUCUGGGGUUGGGUCAGGUUCCAAAUUUGGACUUGUUUCACAUUCCAAGUUGGGUCUGGGUUUAGAGAGUUUUGAUCCAAAGCGAUUCAUUUGUUAUAUGGGUCUAAUUUGGGUCUUUUGACCUAUUAUCGGACCUGACCUGAACCCGGUAUACUUGUUAACUUGAGGUGAGGAGGGGUGUUAAGCCGAACUACUCUUUAAUGUAGUCUCUACUCUUCCGAAGUCCCAAUUAUUUCCAACUCUCAAAUACCCGUUUGGUCUCCCUUGGUUCGAGACCCUAACCCUAGAGCCUCUUCCACAACGGCAAUCGACUGAUCCUGCCGUCCAGCAACGUUGACGUGCUUCGAGCCUUCAUGAUGAUCUCCUGAGGUAUCCCCUUCACUACGUCGGCGUGCUUCGAGCGGUCAAGCCUCUUCUCACGACAGUCUCUCGAGGUAUCCUCGCUCUCCCCUUCCACCCUCACCCAUCUCUGCCAUCGGUUGGCUAUGGAGGGUCGUCCAUCCAUCUCUUCUUUCCCCAUUUUGGCUGUUUGGUUGGGGUGAAAAUUAGGGAGUGGGUUCCUUAUGGGAGUUGCUGGUCUUGGGAGUUUGUGGGUGCUGCCCUAAAGUUUGGUGCUGGAGGUUAGCGACAUUGUUCCCGUGGGUUCUUGGUUUUGUUGGGAUUUGUGGAUUGUCGUGCAUUCCUAGUGUUUGAGGUUUUGGGAGGGGGAUGGUGGUGGAUUUGGAAUUGAUGGGAUUUGGUCUGGGUUUUUGUUGGGUAUAUGCCUUACAAUUGGUUCUGAGCUUGGUUUGGUAAUUGUCGGGUAUAUGCCAAAAUGCAAGUGUGGUACUUUUACAACCGACUCAAACCUUCAAAGCUUACUUGGAUUGCGAUGUAUAAGAAGCAGCAUAAGAAGGAUAUCCAUGCUGAAACUGUGAAGAAGAGGUGCCAAAGUAUCAAGACACCUUACUCUAGAUCAAUUGUUGAUGCUACUUUAGAGGUGAUUCAGAAGAGAAGAAUUGAGAAACCAGAAGUAUGGGAUGCUGCCAUAUGGUAUAUUGCUGCUCUUUUCUCAUCCUUCCCUCUGAUUUCUUUCUUCAUUAUCUUGUGUCAAGAACGUACAUCCUUGGAUGGAAAGUUUGACUUUUAGAUUGUAGAUUGAUAUUGUGACUGACUUGGCAUUCUAUCCAUGCUCUGUUUCAAUCUAUUAGAUAUCUUUAAAUAUAAUAAUUCGUAUAAUCCAUAGGGAAUGCUUGACUUUCGGAACUCUUUUCAAUUGCUUUCUGAGCCUUGUUGGAAAAAAAUUAUGUUGAAAGAGAUAUUCAUGUCUAAUAAUGAGUCUAAGAAUUUUCUUUUGUCCAAAUUUAACUUUCACUUUAGAACUCCAUAUGCGUGACCCAGAUUCGACCCGAAUCUGAUUUGGUCCUAAAAUUUUUCGGGUUGGGACCGGAUUAUACAUGGACCCGACUUGACUCGAAUGACCCGUUGGGUCAAAAAUUUUGGCCGGAGAUCCGAUCUGACUUAAUCUUCUAUUAGGUUGGGUUUGCAUCCAACAUUAGGACCCGAACAAGGAAUUGGGUCGAGUUGGGGUCAGUCAUGACUUGGUCCGACCCGACACAUUUGCACCCAAUGUAGGUGCAUGCUAAGGCGUGCCUCAGUAAAUCUUAGAAGAUGCACACAUCCAGAUUAACAUCGAACCAUCAAUAGGUAACUUAUUUUAUGAUCAAAUCUAGACCACUAGAUAACUUCGAUGCUUUGAUAUGUUUUGUUGACACUUCUAGCAGUUGGAUGAGGGCUUAAAUCAUCAUAAUAGGAAAUUUGUAGCGUGAUCUUGGCCCUUGACUUCAUCACACGCUUUUGUUCUAUGGAUCUCAUCCCCAAGAUCAUUUUGAUUUUUUCCAUCUUUAUGCUCCAUUGUCAAAACUUUAUGCCUUCAUCAAUUAUAAAUUGAUUUGGAACUACAUGUUUGAGACUUUCAAUCUCCUCAACUAGGCUUUCUAGGAGCUAUUGCAUCUUCAAUUGAAUCAUUGUGAUGUGAAGGAUCAUCACUUCUGAGAUUUCUGAUAAACAAAUCUCCAAUCAUCAUAAUGUGAAUGAAGAAGUUACUUUAUACUAAAUUCAUUUCCAAAUGACUGCCUAGUCCGUUAUACAAUUUCCUAAUGAUUCCUAAAUACUGCGUGAGAGGACUGCUCCAGUUUUUCCGUGGAAUGGUAUGCUCCAACAGUUGAGAUAGUCUGGUCCAUUUCCUGACUUGUCCUAUCUCGAUACUUGGCACAGUGCCUUGUCUCAGCACUUGGGAUGGUGGGAUGCCCCACCGUCCAUCCAGUAUUUAAAACCUUGGUGAUAAGCUAUAUCCAUUGCAUGUAUCAUCUAGGCUCCUUGGCAACCAUGAAGUGCUGCUUUUGGUUGGCAAGUUAACUGAUUUAAAAUCCUUCAGCUCUCAUUCUUCUAAGAAUUUAUAUGAUUAUCCUUCAUAAUAAGCACACUACACCAUGUUGGUUGUGCUGAUAACGGGCCUUCCGUAUUGAGUAAUAGGCCAGAUUGUGGAGUUAAACUUGUUUGGUGUAAGAGCAGACUGUGUUUGAAGAAACUUCUGCAGUUCAAGGUCGGGCAUUUGCAACUGUACCUCACCAAGCAAGAUUUACUGGCCAGCCCGUUCCUGAGAUGGCCGGCUCCAUGCUUAAAUUGCCAAGGAUUGGCUCACAGUGAUUUGGAUUCCUUGGCUAGUGAAAAGUCAAGAUCUGGCAGGAGAAUCUGGUUUGGUAAGUCAAUUUAUAAAAUACAUUAAUGCAUCAAAAUUAAUUCUUUUCCAACAUGCAAGUCUCAGGCAAGAAAGUUAAAUAGCUGAUGGCAGCCCUUUGGUGGCAGCUAAAAGAGGAGCAAUAGAAGAGCUACACCGUCUCUCUUUGCAUGAGAUUUCUGUGUUACCAUGGCACUAGUUGGUCAAUUCCAGUUUUAACUUUUUUGAUAUACAAGUAUGAUUAAUCUGAAGUUGAAAAGCUUCAUUACAUUUAUUCAGUGUCUUCCUGAAGCAAUAUCAAUAAAUCAAGUCUCCUAAAGUUUAGUAUCUUAGAAACUUGUUCUGAAAAAAAAUGAUACUUUUGGAAUGAAUUUUCCGUCCAUUCA